rnacentral:rRNA from 1 species
UAUUGCACAAUGGGGGAAAUCCUGAUGCAGCGACGCAGCGUGAGUGAGGAAGUAUUUCGGUAUGUAAAGCUCUAUCAGCAGGGAAGAANAUGACGGUACCUGACUAAGAAGCCCCGGCUAACUACGCGCCAGCAGACGCGGUAAUACGGAGGGGGCAAGCGUUAUCCGGAUUUACUGGGUGUAAAGGGAGCGUAGACGGAAUUGCAAGUCUGAUGUGAAAAUCCGAGGCUCAACCCCGGAACUGCAUUGGAAACUGUAUUUCUAGAGUGUCGGAGAGGCAAGUGGAAUUCCUGGUGUAGCGGUGAAAUGCGUAGAUAUCAGGAGGAACACCAGUGGCGAAGGCGGCUUGCUGGACGAUGACUGACGUUGAGGCUCGAAAGCGUGGGUAGCAA